UACGUAGGUGGCAAGCGUUGUCCGGAUUUACUGGGCGUAAAGGGCUUGUAGGCGGUUUGUUAGGGCUGGUGUGAAAUCUCCCGGCUCAACCGGGAGGGGUCAUCGGAUACUGGCAGACUAGAGACGGGUAGAGGAAAGCAGAAUUCCCGGUGUAGCGGUGAAAUGCGUAGAUAUCGGGAGGAAUACCAGUGGCGAAGGCGGCUUUCUGGGCCUGUUCUGACGCUGAGGAGCGAAAGCGUGGGGAGCAAACCGG
rnacentral:rRNA from 1 species